ACGGUUUGAAGCGUUGGAUUCUUGACUUCCUGAAAUUUGAAAUGGUAUAUAGCAUGUAGAAAAUGGACUUCGGGAAGUGCUCCAAAAGUGUGAAGGAAGACUGCAGCUGCUGUCCUCUGUUUUCUUCACUUUGCUUGUUUUUCCUCUUUGCUUCUCUCCUUUACUUGGCUUGUCUUAAUGAUCCAAAAAGCUGUCAAAACACU
rnacentral:lncRNA from 1 species